rnacentral:rRNA from 1 species
UACGGAGGGGGCAAGCGUUGUUCGGAAUUACUGGGCGUAAAGGGCGCGCAGGCGGCUGCUCAAGUCAGGCGUGAAAGGCCUGGGCUCAACCCGGGAAUUGCGCUUGAGACUGGGCUGGCUUGAGUGCGGGAGAGGAUGGUGGAAUUCCCAGUGUAGAGGUGAAAUGCGUAGAUAUCGAGAGGAACACCUGUGGCGAAGGCGGGUUGCUGGGCCGACACUGACGCUGAUGCGCGAAAGCCAGGGGAGCGAACGGG